rnacentral:rRNA from 1 species
AUUGAACGCUGGCGGCAUGCUUUACACAUGCAAGUCGAACGGUAACAGGGAGCUUGCUCCGCUGACGAGUGGCGAACGGGUGAGUAAUGCGUCGGAACGUGCCGAGUAGUGGGGGAUAACGCAUCGAAAGGUGUGCUAGUACCGCAUACGUACUGAGGUAGAAAGUGGGGGACCUUCGGGCCUCACGCUAUUCGAGCGGCCGACGUCUGAUUAGCUAGUUGGUGAGGUAAAGGCUCACCAAGGCGACGAUCAGUAGCGGGUCUGAGAGGAUGAUACGCCACACUGGGACUGAGACACGGCCCAGACUCCUACGGGAGGCAGCAGGGGGGAAUUUUGGACAAUGGGCGCAAGCCUGACCCAGCCAUGCCGCGUGUCUGAAGAAGGCCUUCGGGUUGUAAAGGACUUUUGUCCGGGAGCAAAUGCCUGGUGUUAAUAGCACUGGGAGCUGAGAGUACCGGAAGAAUAAGCACCGGCUAACUACGUGCCAGCCGCCGCGGUAACAC